GUCUUUUCGAGGUAGGAGUCGACUCCUGUGAGGUAUGGUGCUGGGUGCAGAUGCAGUGUGGCUCUGGAUAGCACCUUAUGGACAGUUGUGUCCCCAAGGAAGGAUGAGAAUAGCUACUGAAGUCCUAAAGAGCAAGCCUAACUCAAGCCAUUGGCACACAGGCAUUAGACAGAAAGCUGGAAGUUGAAAUGGUGGAGUCCAACUUGCCUGGACCAGCUUAAUGGUUCUGCUCCUGGUAACGUUUUUAUCCAUGGAUGACUUGCUUGGGUAUGGAGAGUCGGCUUGACUACACUGUGUGGAGCAAGUUUUAAAGAAGCAAAGGACUCAGAAUUCAUGAUUGAAGAAAUGCAGGGUUUUUAAUGACCACAACAAGCAAGCAUGCAGCUUACUGCUUGAAAGGGUCUUGCCUCACCCAAGCUAGAGUGCAGUGGCCUUUGAAGCUUACUACAGCCUCAAACUUCUGGGCUCAAGUGAUCCUCAGCCUCCCAGUGGUCUUUGUAGACUGCCUGAUGGAGUCUCAUGGCACAAGAAGAUUAAAACAGUGUCUCCAAUUUUAAUAAAUUUUUGCAAUCCAUC
rnacentral:sRNA from 1 species